rnacentral:rRNA from 1 species
UACGUAGGCAGCAAGCGUUGUUCGGAGUUACUGGGCGUAAAGGGUGUGUAGGCGGUCUUCUAAGUUGGUGUGAAAUCUCCCGGCUCAACUGGGAGGGUGCGCCGAAAACUGGGAGGCUAGAGUACUGGAUGGGAGAGUGGAAUUCCUGGUGUAGCGGUGAAAUGCGUAGAUAUCAGGAGGAACACCGGUGGUGUAGACGGCUCUCUGGACAGUAACUGACGCUGAGACGCGAAAGCGUGGGGAGCAAACAGG